GCAUUUUCAACUCAGUUGUUUUUUUGCUUUGGCAGCUGACUUCCAUCCUCCUGGUAGUAGAUUUAAUUUAGACACUAUGAAAAAGCAAAAAGUACCUUGGAGUCAAGUCUGGAGACUAAGGACCUUAUGCAUGCCAGCCAAGCGCUUAUGCUGCUGAACUAUAUUCCUGGCCCUGAAACGUUUAUUUCUUGAUGAAAACCAGACUGAUGUGCUGAAGUAAUUUUUUACAGUGGCUGGUGGCUAAGUGACAGCGGGCAAGGUUUUUUUCUGUUGUUGUUUUGAGACAGGGUCUCA